rnacentral:rRNA from 1 species
GUGCCAGCCGCUGCGGUAAUACGGAGGGUGCAAGCGUUAAUCGGAAUUACUGGGCGUAAAGCGCACGCAGGCGGUUUGUUAAGUCAGAUGUGAAAUCCCCCGGGCUCAACCUGGGAACUGCAUCUGAUACUGGCAAGCUUGAGUCUCGUAGAGGGGGGUAGAAUUCCAGGUGUAGCGGUGAAAUGCGUAGAGAUCUGGAGGAAUACCGGUGGCGAAGGCGGCCCCCUGGACGAAGACUGACGCUCAGGUGCGAAAGCGUGGGGAGCAAACAGGAUUAGAUACCCUGGUAGUCCACGCCGUAAACGAUGUCGACUUGGAGUUGUGCCCUUGAGCGUGGCUUCCGGAG